rnacentral:lncRNA from 1 species
UUCUUCAUAGACACCGACGACGACGAGUAGCUGGUGUCCCAGCUACGAUCUGGCCCUAGGUUGGGUCUCUAGUAUAGUCAGGCCAUGUGCCUUCUAGUUGCACCUGUCUGUACUCAGACAGUUUUAAACACUUCCGCUGGCUUGUAACUGAAUGACUGCUAUUAUGGGUCGUGAGACCCUUACUGUGUAAUAUUAUGUGUGUGGCUCUUUCGAGCCUCUUAAAUAAAGCUUGUAUGUUUAUGGUUAUGUUGUGAUGCCAUCGAUGUAUCU